AUGGCUCGAGAUUUGCUUGCUAGGUGUUUUUCCCUCCCACAAUAGAUGAGUUUCUUCCACAAUAGGUGGAUAUCUUCCACAUUAGGUGGAUCUACUACCCAAAUAAGUGGGUUUCCUUUUGUUUAUGGUCUGGUUUCCCUCUUUUACGACCACCACAUCCUCCGCCCUCACUGUCGUCGCCUCCACCUUGGUCGUUCUCACCGCAUCCAUCGAUCUCAGUGAGUUGGGUUGCAGAUCUAGUGUUGAGACGGUGCGUCCUGUGUCUCGCCGCCGCUGCUGCUGUGUACGCCCCUGUACCCGGGCCGGAGGCCUUCUCACUGGUCUCAGGCAAGUCCUGGGUUGAAAGGGGGAGGGCUCUAGUUGUGCUGAUUUGUUGGUAGCCUCACCGCGCCACCGAGCCACCGCCGUCGCCGUACCUCAGCCGCGAUCUGCUCUGCUCCGACCACCACCAUCCUUUUCCCUCUGUUCUGGUUGUUUCUGGGUUGAUCUGCAGGUGCCCCUCUAUCCUUGGUGCCAGUGCACCGGCUUGACUCCUCUUGGUGCCGUUGAAGCCGUUUGUGUUCUUCCUUGAAGGCUAAAGUGUUUGCAUCUCCGGCAGAGUCGGAUGGAUUGCAAGUGGAAGCAAUUGUUUUAAAAAGGAAUGAUUUACUACUGCUUGGACAGCCAAGCUUNNNN
rnacentral:lncRNA from 1 species